UUUUCCCUCACAAGUUCCCUCAUUUCCCAGCCAGUCACUAGAAGGGGAGGAUCAAAAACACAUCAUUGCUUCUUCCAUAUUCAUUUAUUUCAAACGUGUCGGUGGUGGGUGGUUGUUUGUUUUCCUUCCCAAGUUUCCUCAUUUCCCAGCCAGUCACUAGAAGGGGAGGAUCAAAACACAUCAUUGCUUCUUCCAUAUUCAUUUAUUUCAAACGUGUCGGUGGUGGGUGGUUGUUUGUUUUUCCCUCACAAGUUUCCUCAUUUCCCAGCCAGUCACUUGAAGGAGAGGAUCAAAAACACAAUAGCAUUUUCCAUAUUCAUUUAUUUCAAACGUGUCGGUGGUGGGUGGGUUAAGUAACUAAUGAUUACAGUGUCACUUUCUGCGACUUUUACGUCAUUGGAGGUACCGUGAUACGAGGAGGAAGAGGCUUUACAGUGAAGUGUUGAUGAAGAAGUGUGUGCUUAGUGCCAUUUUCUG